AUUGAACGCUGGCGGCAGGCCUAACACAUGCAAGUCGAGCGAGCGGCGGACGGGUGAGUAAUGUCUGGGAAACUGCCUGAUGGAGGGGGAUAACUACUGGAAACGGUAGCUAAUACCGCAUACCAUCAGAUGUGCCCAGAUGGGAUUAGCUAGUAGGUGGGGUAACGGCUCACCUAGGCGACGAUCCCUAGCUGGUCUGAGAGGAUGACCGGCCAAACUGGAACUGGAAAACGGUCCAGAUGCCAACGGGGGGCAGCAGGGGGGAAUAUUGAACAAUGGGCGCAAGCCUGAUGCAGCAAGGCGGGUUGUGGGAAGAAGGCCUUCGGGUUGUAAGUCACUUUCAGCGAGGAGGCGUUACUCGCAGAAGAAGCACCGGCUAACUCCGUGCCAGCGGCCGCGGAAAUU
rnacentral:rRNA from 1 species